rnacentral:rRNA from 1 species
CCUACGGGUGGCAGCAGUGAGGAAUAUUGGUCAAUGGACGAGAGUCUGAACCAGCCAAGUAGCGUGAAGGAUGACUGCCCUAUGGGUUGUAAACUUCUUUUAUAUGGGAAUAAAAUGUUCCACGUGUGGGCUUUUGUAUGUACCAUAUGAAUAAGGAUCGGCUAACUCCGUGCCAGCAGCCGCGGUAAUACGGAGGUUCCGAGCGUUAUCCGGAUUUAUUGGGUUUAAAGGGAGCGUAGGUGGAUAGUUAAGUCAGUUGUGAAAGUUUGCGGCUCAACCGUAAAAUUGCAGUUGAAACUGGCAGUCUUGAGUACAGGAGAGGUAGGCGGAAUUCGUGGUGUAGCGGUGAAAUGCUUAGAUAUCACGAAGAACUCCGAUUGCGAAGGCAGCUCACUGGACUGCAACUGACACUGAGGCUCGAAAGUGUGGGUAUCAAACAGGAUUAGAUACCCCAGUAGUC